rnacentral:rRNA from 1 species
GACGGAGGAUGCAAGCGUUAUCCGGAAUGAUUGGGCGUAAAGCGUCCGCAGGUGGCAGUUCAAGUCUGCUGUCAAAGACCGGGGCUUAACUUCGGAAAGGCAGUGGAAACUGAACAGCUAGAGUAUGGUAGGGGCAGAGGGAAUUCCUGGUGUAGCGGUGAAAUGCGCAGAUAUCAGGAGGAACACCACCGGCGAAGGCAGCACUCUGGGCCGGUACUGACGCUGAGGAGCGAAAGCGUGGGGAGCAAACAGG